UACGAAGGGGGGCUAGCGUUGCUCGGAAUUACUGGGCGUAAAGCGCACGUAGGCGGCUUAUUAAGUCGGGGGUGAAAUCCUGGAGCUCAACUCCAGAACUGCCUUCGAUACUGAUGAGCUUGAGUUCGGGAGAGGUGAGUGGAACUGCGAGUGUAGAGGUGAAAUUCGUAGAUAUUCGCAAGAACACCAGUGGCGAAGGCGGCUCACUGGCCCGAUACUGACGCUGAGGUGCGAAAGCGUGGGGAGCAAACAGG
rnacentral:rRNA from 1 species